rnacentral:rRNA from 1 species
GUGGGGAAUAUUGGACAAUGGGCGAAAGCCUGAUCCAGCAAUGCCGCGUGAGUGAUGAAGGCCCUAGGGUUGUAAAGCUCUUUUACCAGGGAUGAUAAUGACAGUACCUGGAGAAUAAGCUCCGGCUAACUCCGUGCCAGCAGCCGCGGUAAUACGGAGGGAGCUAGCGUUGUUCGGAAUUACUGGGCGUAAAGCGCGCGUAGGCGGUUUUUUAAGUCAGAGGUGAAAGCCCGGGGCUCAACCCCGGAAUUGCCUUUGAAACUGGAAAACUUGAAUCUUGGAGAGGUCAGUGGAAUUCCGAGUGUAGAGGUGAAAUUCGUAGAUAUUCGGAAGAACACCAGUGGCGAAGGCGACUGACUGGACAAGUAUUGACGCUGAGGUGCGAAAGCGUGGGGAGCAAACAGGAUUAGAUACCCCGGUAGUCC